rnacentral:rRNA from 1 species
CCAAUAGCGUAUAUUAAAGUUGUUGCAGUUAAAAAGCUCGUAGUUGAACUUCGGGGUUUACCCAUUGGUCAGGCUUAAUUGUCUGUACUGGUGAGAUAAAUCUCUACCUUCUGAGGAACUUUCAUGCCAUUUAUUUGGUGUGGGAGGAAAUCAGGACUGUUACUUUGAAAAAAUUAGAGUGUUUAAAGCAGGCUAACGUCUGAAUACAUUAGCAUGGAAUAAUGAAAUAGGACGGACUGAUUCUAUUUCGUUGGUUUCUAGGAUCACCGUAAUGAUUAAUAAGGAUAGUUGGGGGCAUUAGUAUUCAAUUGUCAGAGGUGAAAUUCUUGGAUUUAUUGAAGACUAACUACUGCGAAAGCAUUUGCCAAGGAUGUUUUCAUUAAUCAAGAACGAAAGUUAGGGGAUCGAAGACGAGCAGAUACCGUCGUAGUCUUAACCAUAAACUAUGCCGACUAGGGAUCGGACGAAGUUAAUUUUAUAAUGACGCGUUCGGCACCUUACG